rnacentral:rRNA from 1 species
GUGGGGAAUCUUCCGCAAUGGACGAAAGUCUGACGGAGCAACGCCGCGUGAGUGAAGAAGGUUUUCGGAUCGUAAAGCUCUUUCGUUAGGGACGAACGUGCUCUUUGUGAAUAAUGAGGAGUAAUGACGGUACCUAAAUAAGAAGCCACGGCUAACUACGUGCCAGCAGCCGCGGUAAUACGUAGGUGGCAAGCGUUGUCCGGAAUGAUUGGGCGUAAAGCGCGCGCAGGCGGGAUAUCAAGUCUGUCUUAAAAGUGCGAGGCUCAACCUCGUGAGGGGACAGAAACUGGUAUUCUUGAGUGUCGGAGAGGAAAGUGGAAUUCCAAGUGUAGCGGUGAAAUGCGUAGAGAUUUGGAAGAACACCAGUGGCGAAGGCGACUUUCUGGACGAUGUCUGACGCUGAGGCGCGAAAGCUAGGGGAGCGAACGGGAUUAGAUACCCCAGUAGUCC